rnacentral:rRNA from 1 species
GUAGGGAAUAUUGCGCAAUGGACGAAAGUCUGACGCAGCGACGCCGCGUGAGUGAUGAAGGCCUUAGGGUCGUAAAGCUCUGUUGAAUGGGAAGAAAAAAAUGACGGUACCAUUCGAGGAAGGACCGGCUAACUUCGUGCCAGCAGCCGCGGUAAUACGAGGGGUCCUAGCGUUGUUCGGAAUCAUUGGGCGUAAAGGGUGUGUAGGUGGCCAUGUAAGUCAGGUGUGAAAGCCCCGGGCUCAACACGGGAAGUGCACUUGAUACUGCGUGGCUUGAGUACCGAAGAGGGUAGUGGAAUUCCAGGUGUAGUGGUGAAAUACGUAGAUAUCUGGAGGAACACCGGUGGCGAAGGCGGCUACCUGGUCGAGUACUGACACUGAGACACGAAAGCAUGGGGAUCAAACAGGAUUAGAAACCCGGGUAGUCC